AGCGAACGCUGGCGGCGCGCCUAAUACAUGCAAGUCGAGCGAGAAGACGUAGCAAUACGUUUGUAAAGCGGCGAACGGGUGAGGAAUACAUGGGUAACCUACCCUCGAGUGGGGAAUAACUAGCCGAAAGGUUAGCUAAUACCGCGUACGCUCCUUGGACUUCGGUUCAGGGAGGAAAGCGAUACCGUGGGUAUCGCGCUCUUGGAUGGGCUCAUGUCCUAUCAGCUUGUUGGUGAGGUAACGGCUCACCAAGGCUUCGACGGGUAGCUGGUCUGAGAGGACGAUCAGCCACACUGGCACUGCGACACGGGCCAGACUCCUACGGGAGGCAGCAGUAAGGAAUAUUGCGCAAUGGGCGAAAGCCUGACGCAGCGACGCCGCGUGGGGGAUGAAGGUCUUCGGAUUGUAAACCCCUUUCGGGAGGGAAGAUGGAACGAGCAAUCGUUCGGACGGUACCUCCAGAAGCAGCCACGGCUAACUUCGUGCCAGCAGCCGCCGCA
rnacentral:rRNA from 1 species